AAUGAUUGACAUCUAUUUUUGUCUUUCUUAUAUUCAUAUUUUCUUUAACAGUAAGCAUUAUCCUUUUUUCUUUAACAAAACAUUAUUAAAUUCACAAAUAUUUUUAACACUUCCUCAAAAAAAUUAUGGUUUGAUGUACACUUUUUUUUUCUUUUUUAAAUCUAACUUUACUCUUUUAUUUUAUACUUAAAAUACAAAACAAGAUGUGAGAAUAGAAAAUUGCUCUUUUAUAAAAUAAAAAUUACUAUUAAAAUGUGG
rnacentral:lncRNA from 1 species